GCCUGGUAGUGGGGGAUAACGUCCGGAAACGGGCGCUAAUACCGCAUACGUCCUGAGGGAGAAAGUGGGGGAUCUUCGGACCUCACGCUAUCAGAUGAGCCUAGGUCGGAUUAGCUAGUUGGUGGGGUAAAGGCCUACCAAGGCGACGAUCCGUAACUGGUCUGAGAGGAUGAUCAGUCACACUGGAACUGAGACACGGUCCAGACUCCUACGGGAGGCAGCAGUGGGGAAUAUUGGACAAUGGGCGAAAGCCUGAUCCAGCCAUGCCGCGUGUGUGAAGAAGGUCUUCGGAUUGUAAAGCACUUUAAGUUGGGAGGAAGGGCAGUAAGUUAAUACCUUGCUGUUUUGACGUUACCAACAGAAUAAGCACCGGCUAACUUCGUGCCAGCAGCCGCGGUAAUACGAAGGGUGCAAGCGUUAAUCGGAAUUACUGGGCGUAAAGCGCGCGUAGGUGGUUCAGCAAGUUGGAUGUGAAAUCCCCGGGCUCAACCUGGGAACUGCAUCCAAAACUACUGAGCUAGAGUACGGUAGAGGGUGGUGGAAUUUCCUGUGUAGCGGUGAAAUGCGUAGAUAUAGGAAGGAACACCAGUGGCGAAGGCGACCACCUGGACUGAUACUGACACUGAGGUGCGAAAGCGUGGGGAGCAAACAGG
rnacentral:rRNA from 1 species